rnacentral:rRNA from 1 species
UAGGGAAUAUUGGACAAUGGGCGAAAGCCUGAUCCAGCAAUGCCGCGUGUGUGAAGAAGGUCUUCGGAUUGUAAAGCACUUUCGACGGGGACGGAUGAUGACGGUACCCGUAGAAGAAGCCCGGCUAACUUCGUGCCAG